UUCCACAGCUACUGGUCUUCAGCUGCUCUGCUGGUGGCAGCUGUGGCAUUCCUCUGAGGGAAAGCAAUUGCUACACAGUUAAACACCUCUGCGCUGGCAAAACAGACAGUGGCCAUGUGCGUGAGAAAACACAA